UUGGAUAUGGUGUAACGGUUCAACAUUGCCGCUUCUCAUCUAGAGUGCCGCGGCAGCUCGGGGUUCGAUUCCCCAUAUCCAAA